rnacentral:rRNA from 1 species
CGCGAGCUGGGUUCAGAACGUCGUGAGACAGUUCGGUCCCUAUCUGUUGCGGGCGUCGGAGAUUUGAAGGGAGCUGUCCUUAGUACGAGAGGACCGGGAUGGACAUACCUCUGGUGCACCAGUUGUUCUGCCAAGGGCACAGCUGGGUAGCUACGUAUGGACGAGAUAAACGCUGAAGGCAUCUAAGCGUGAAACUCCCCCUAAGAUGAGAUCUCCCCUCCCUCGAGGAGUAAGGCUCGACGUAGACUAUGUCGUUGAUAGGUCAGGGGUGUAAGUGCUGUAAGGCAUGCAGCUGACUGAUACUAAUAAGCCGAAAGCUUGACCUACAA